AACAUUCAUGCCAUGUUUGAUUUCAUUCCAUUCAGUGGUUCUCUAAAAGAAGUCAUUUGUAUGCAUUUCCCAUAGGGUCCUAUGUUAAACUAAGUCCCACGCUGGCGGCCAUCUUGGAUGAUGGAUCAGCUACAAAGUAACAACACUUGGUCAGCACCACAUAAGGAACAUUCAUGCCAUGUUUGGUUUCAUUCCAUUCAGUGGUUCACUAGAAGAAGUGAUUUGUAUGCAUUUCCAAUAGGGUCCUAUGUUAAACUAAGUCCCCCGCUGGCGGCCUUCUUGGAUAAUGGAUCAGCUACAAAGUAACAACACUUGGUCAGCACUCCAUAAGGAACAUUCAUGCUAUGUUUGGUUUCAUUCCAUUUAGUGGUUCUCUAGAAGAAGUCAUUUGUAUGCAUUUCCCAUAGGGUCCUAUGUUAAACUAAGUCCCCCACUGGCGGCCAUCUUGGAUGAUGGAUCGGCUACAAAGUAACAACACUUGGUCAGCAUCCCAUAAGGAACAUUCAUGCUAUGUUUGGUUUUAUUCCAUUCAGUGGUUCUCUAAAAGAAGUCAUUUGUAUGCAUUUCCCAUAGGGUCCUAUGUUAAACUAAGUCCCCCGCUGGCGGCCAUCUUGGAUGAUGGAUCGGCUACAAAGUAACAACACUUGGUCAGCACCCCAUAAGGAACAUUCAUGCUAUGUUUGGUUUUAUUCCAUUCAGUGGUUCUCUAGAAGAAGUCAUGUGUAUGCAUUUCCCAUAGGGUCCUAUGUUAAACUAAGUCCCCCGCUGGCGGCCAUCUUUGAUGAUGGAUCGGCUACAAAGUAACAACACUUGGUCAGCACCACAUAAGGAAAAUUCAUGCCAUGUUUGGUUUCAUUCCAUUCAGUGGUUCACUAGAAGAAGUCAUUUGUAUGCAUUUCCAAUAGGGUCCUAUGUUAAACUAAGUCCCCGCUGGUGGCCAUCUUGGAUAAUGGAUCGGCUACAAAGUAACAACACUUGGUCAGCACUCCAUAAGGAACAUUCAUGCCAUGUUUGGUUUCAUUCCAUUCAGUGGUUCUCUAGAAGAAGUCAUUUGCAUGCAUUUCCCAUAGGGUCCUAUGUUAAACUAAGUCCCCCGCUGGCGGCCAUCUUGGAUGAUGGAUCGGCUACAAAGUAACAACACUUGGUCAGCACUUCAUAAGGAACAUUCAUGCCAUGUUUGGUUUUAUUCCAUUCAGUGGUUCUCUAAAAGAAGUCAUUUGUAUGCAUUUCCCAUAGGGUCCUAUGUUAAACUAAGUCCCCCGCUGGCGGCCAUCUUGGAUAAUAGAUCGGCUACAAAGUAACAACACUUGGUCAGCACCACAUUAGGAACAUUCAUGCCAUGUUUGAUUUCAUUCCAUUCAGUAGUUCUCUAAAAGAAGUCAUUUGUAUGCAUUUUCCAUAGGGUCCUUUGUUAAACUAAGUCCCCCGCUGGCGGCCAUUUUGGAUGAUGGAUUGGCUACAAAGUAACAACACUUGGUCAGCACCUCAUAAGGAACAUUCAUGCCAUGUUUGGUUUCAUUCCAUUCAGUGGUUCUCUAGAAGAAGUUCAAAAUGUAAAAAGUUAACGACGACGACGA
rnacentral:lncRNA from 1 species